AGUGAACGCUGGCGGCGUGCCUAAUACAUGCAAGUCGAGCGGAGAUUAAGUAGCUUGCUAUUUAAUCUUAGUGGCGCACGGGUGAGUAAUAUAUAGCUAACUUGCCCAUUACUAAGGGACAACAGUUGGAAACGACUGCUAAUACCUUAUACUCCGUAUCUAUAUAAGUAGAUACGGGAAAGUUUUUCGGUAAUGGAUAGGGCUAUAUCGUAUCAGCUAGUUGGUAAGGUAAUGGCUUACCAAGGCUGUGACGCGUAACUGGUCUGAGAGGAUGAUCAGUCACACUGGAACUGAGACACGGUCCAGACUCCUACGGGAGACAGCAGUAGGGAAUAUUGCUCAAUGGGGGAAACCCUGAAGCAGCAACGCCGCGUGGAGGAUGACACUUUUCGGAGCGUAAACUCCUUUUCUUGGGAAAGAAUUAUGACGGUACCCAAGGAAUAAGCACCGGCUAACUCCGUG
rnacentral:rRNA from 1 species